rnacentral:tRNA from 1 species
GGGCGCAUAGCUCAGUUGGCUAGAGCACAUCCUUCACACGGAUGGGGUCCGGGGUUCGAGUCCCUGUGCGCCCACCA